CCAGCUCGUCCUCCGGGAUGGUGGGGACGACUGUUGGGACCGCCUCUGCUAAGAGGAGGAAGGAAUGGGCACGGUAGGUCAGCAUGCCCCGAAUUAUCUGGGCUACACGCGGGCUACAAUGGGUGGGACAAUGGGUAUCGACACCGAAAGGUGAAGGCAAUCUCCUAAACCCAUCCGUAGUUCGGAUUGUGGGCUGCAACUCGCCCACAUGAAGCUGGAAUCUGUAGUAAUCGUGUCUCAAAAUGGCACGGUGAAUAUGUCCCUGCUCCUU
rnacentral:rRNA from 1 species